rnacentral:lncRNA from 1 species
AUGUGAUUUUCAGGAGCAAUGAUGAUGCUCAUCUCACAUGAAUAUUUAUAUUUGAUAUUGCUUUAAAAGAACACCAAAUCUAAGAAUCCAGUCAUCCCAGGAGAAUAGCCUCCAAAAAUAGCCAUGUAAGAUGUAUGGCAUGCAGCAAUGAUUCUCAACCUUUGUCAUCCUGCAAUCCUUCACUACAGUUCUGUGACCCCCAAUCCCGAAAGUAUUUUGUUGUUAGAUAGGGUUGACUGAUUUUGGACAACUUAGCUAGCCUCCAGAACCAUAAGGCAGCAUAAGCCUUUUUGUUUUACAAAUUAGCUAGUCUUAUGAAUUCUGUUAUAACAACAGAGAGCAGACUAUGGUGGGAGCUAAGGAAAAGGAACAGGGAUACCAGCUGAACCCUCAUUUAGAUGUGGCAUGUAUGCUAUGGUGCUUUUAUUGAAAUUGCUAGGUUUUAUUCCUAUUUAUAAAAAAAAUAAAAUGUGUGCAAUAUUUGCCAAAAUUCCAUAUUUUUUCUUUUUUUUUCUUUUUCCUUUUGCUUUAAAGAAAGCAAAACAGUAAUUGGUUUCUUGUUUUUAAGGUCUUUUUUUAUACUGCCCCUUAAUCAAAGGAAGAAAGGAAAAGACGUGUUCUUAACAUAACCAAUGAUAAAACAUUGUGUUUAAGAGAAUGCCCUCUUCAUUUUCUAGCCAACGGUAUCAUCUAUUCAUUGCUGGAGAUGGCAGGGAGGUCACACUGGACUUAAAAUAAACCUCUCCAGUGUUUCCUAAUUAAGGUUAUUGUCAGUUUGAAUAGCCUGAAGGUUGUACUUCACCAGAACAAUUCUUCAACAAGGCCUUGCAAUCAAAUAGCACUGUUUCCUUUAAUAAACAUAAAUAUAGCAAAAUGCCAUUUUAGUGAUUGUGUUCAUCUUAGAUUAACAUUCUUUAGACAUAACGAGCCAUGUUUAACAUAAGAUUGUAGCAAAAAAAUAUGAGCGAAAACAAAUAUUUCUGGUAAUAACUUUGACUUCUGUGACAUUUUAAAUGGAGAAAGUAAAGUACAUCUGACCUUUGAGCCAGCAAAAAAUAGGAUGCCAAAUUCAUAGUGUUUUCAGCAUCAGAAAAUGAGACCCAGCUUUGCAAUAAAAAAGCAAGCCUGAUGUAGCAAUGGUGUCAUACAACCCAGUUUCUGCCCUUUGCAUUUGUCACAUAUAGACUCCAUGUUCAAACUUAUCAUUCUGGAAAUGACACAUAGUGAAUACGAAGAUUAAUCCCACACACUAAGUAGCCCAUCUUUUCCAGUGUCCCAAAAAUGUCACUGGUAAUUAAACAAUAUUUGCAUAAUGUCUUCAGCUUUCUCAAUGGCCUUGAGAUGCUUGUUCCUUUUUCCCACAUCUAGCCAUUUGGAAAAUACCAGGAUUUCAGCCUCCUGCAUAUUUCCAGCUGGAUGUCCUUCGAUCCCACGAUCUACUACCUAUGCUCCAAGCAAAGUCAGUCUGCAUGUUGUAGAGUUCAGGAACAUUUAUAUUGUGUUCAGCCAUAGCCAGCCAUUUUCCAAGGCUUCUUGGUCUUAUCUGAUCUAGCCCAUCUCCUACUCUAAUCUCGUGUGAAUCAUAGCAAUGCUACACCAUAACCUCAUCAUUGAGAAAGAUGCCCAUGGCUCUUCCACCAAAUCGCUCAUUAGGAAAGAAAAUUGUGCUUCCUAGUAAUAAUAGCAUGGAGUUUCUGGGACCAAACUGAAUUGAAGGAUCCCACUGACUAACUCACGCUUUGCUUGCUCUUUACCUCAGCAAGUCUGUGGAUAACUUGGUAUGCCUUUAGAUAUUCAGUAGUUAAAGGCCACAUUUCUCACCUAAUAAUCACAGACCUCAAAUGGGUGAUGAACUUGACUCAGAGUCAAGUAUCAGACUAUAUGCUUUUCACUCCCUUUUGUCAAUUUAUACCUGGGCAAAAGGGAAAUGUCUUGUUAAAAUUUUGAUGGAAGGGGAGAGAGAAGGCAAUGAAAGAGAAGGACAAUCAGGUAUGGAUGAGAGAGAAAGAAUUGAGAUAGAGUGGGGGAAGUUAUAGAAAAUGGGUGGGCACAAGGAAUGCCUGUAAAAAGUUUACAUGAUACAAAACUGUUAGGGAAAUAUGUUCUAUAUAAGCUUUCUAAAGGAAAUUAUAAGUUCUCCCUAGUUCUGUAUCUGAUCUUCCUCCUAAGAAAAGGAAAGUUGUUGUUGUUGCUGUUGUUGUAUGCAUGCUUGUUUUUUAUUCUUGACAGAAGAGAGAAGAUAUUUCUCUCACUGUGUUAUGAGAAAAAGUUGAACAGGUGGUACCUUGUCACCUGGCUGUCAUAUGAGAUAUGAAAUAUCUUCCUUUGCUGUGAAAAGCAUAUCUUCCCUUUUGUCUCCUGCCCACACUGCCUGCAAAUGAAAGUGAGCCUCAGAACUAAGCAGAACUUGGCAUGCCCUGUCCUGUGUACAGUUAGCUGAGCAGUAAGUGUAAAAUUGUGAAGGUAUC